rnacentral:rRNA from 1 species
UACAGGGGGUGCAAACGUUGCUCGGAAUACUGGGCGUAAAGCGUGCGCAGGCGGUGAUGUAAGACAGAUGUGAAAUCCCCGGGCUCAACCUGGGAACUGCAUUUGUGACUGCAUCGCUGGAGUGCGGCAGAGGGGGAUGGAAUUCCGCGUGUAGCAGUGAAAUGCGUAGAUAUGCGGAGGAACACCGAUGGCGAAGGCAAUCCCCUGGGCCUGCACUGACGCUCAUGCACGAAAGCGUGGGGAGCAAACAGG